CACACCCGCUGCGCCCCAUGCAGCUCUCCUCCCUGCUGGGUGUUCUUCCCCUUCUACAUUUGUGAUCCAAACUUUGAGGCAUGACCACUCUUCUGGAGAGGGUUGAACUGCCCAGCUUGGUCUGAGUCCUUUGGCAGCAGGGUUAGCUGUUCAGCUCUUGUUGAUACAGCUGUGCCUUAGGAGGCAGCUAUUGUCCUCCAUGCACUGGCUGUGUGAGUUAUUGGGUGCUGGUUGCAGGUGCAUCGCGGCACGCCUGGAAAGGUCCUGGGCUCUCAGCAGCACGCCGUUGCUUUCUCAGUCUGACAGAGAAAUGCCAGGAAUAGGGGCAGUUUCAGCCACGUUGUGUAUUGCCACUGAAGGCAUCCAAAUAGCAGCGUAAGGAGAAAAUAGGAAGAUGUAUGUCUGGAAGGGGAGAGCAGAAUUUACACUUUUACAUUGGUGCAUCCAUUUAGAGAUGAGAAAUGUGUUCAGAAAAGUAAAUCCUGGGAGAAGUUUGUGACUUUCAGUGAGCUGCCAGGGUCUGCAGGGGUGAUUCCAGACAUUGGGAGGAAGGUGGGCAGAAAGACAAGUCUGCAAGAAAGAAGACUUCUGUGUCAUAGAGCAGUGGCUGGAAUUGGCCUCCAGGUAAGCCUUGUUCCAUCACAGGUAAUUCCAGCAGCUCUUUCAAAGCAGUACUUGAGAUUUAUCUGUGGCAUGGUAUCAGCGUUUACAGAAGUACAAGAAUGGAGACGAGCUGUUGGGACAAGAGGGCACCGUGGCACUCCGAUGUGGAUUUUCUCCUCCUGAAGAGCUGCUCUGGACCUCAUGGUCCCCAGGGAGGCUUAAUUAGAUGUCAGCUCACAGCACAGUGACUGAUCAAGUUACCAGCACAAAGGCGUCUUUCUGGCAUGAUGGGUUCUUAAACAGGAGCAAUCUAUAAAUCUUACACUCCUGUUAGAUAAGAUGUAAAUCUCCCUGUCUGUGCUUAGCAGAGCCACCAAGUAUAUCACAGGGGGAGGUGAUGACAGAUUAAGCCCUAUGACACAUUUUAUACAGAAAUGAAGAGAAGGAAUAAAUUUCUCGUUGCCGCAGGAUCCCACCAGGGUGGGUCCGGGUGAGCCGUCCCUGCAGGGCUGGUUCUGGCAGGGAUAGGUGAGUGUACAGGGAUGGCUCUGGCUCUGGCCAGGUAACGCGUGGAUGGCCUGCAGGAGAGCUGAUGCAGUUGGUGCCUGGGCUGGAGGAUGUGCAGCCUCCCCACGGCAUGCCGGGGACAGCUCAGGUUGCUGUUCCUCGCCUCUCUCAGACCUGCUGAGAUCAGCACCGAUGUUACCGGGAUUGCCACAACCUCCCCCGGAUUCUCCCCCAGCUAAUCCCAGGUCCUCCCCUGGUACUUGCACAGGCUCCACGAACCUCUGGGGAGCACGGGCAACUCGUCCUGAGUGACAGCCACAUUGUGCACGUGUCUCCAAGAGCAGAAUUUACCAUUCCACGGCUCAGCUUUCCCCCUGCCCCCACUUCUGUCUGUACCGUGUUAUUAAACAGGUCAGUUUUACUCUUUCAGACGUGCUCUGCAAAGCUCCCGUUGGCUCUUCCUGGGUGUUGAGCAAGAGAGCUGGCCUCAGGCGUGCCGGGAACAUCCACCUGAUACCUGCAGCUCAAGGACUUACCUGGACUUUCACAUUUAUUAGUGAGAUUAUUUGUAUUGGAAGAAGUCAGAAACACUGAGGGAUUAGUUUCACAUCACAGUAAUUAUCCAGCUCUUUAAUCUGUUUGUUUUUUUUUCCUCUUUCUCAGCCAGGGCUGUGUAUAUAUAGGCCAUCUCCUGCCUCUCUCCAGAAGAUUGGUGCGGAGCGUGGACAACCUUCAGGAGCACUCCGCUGGAGGAAGUCCUGGUGAGGCGACCACCGUGCUCUUCCUCGCAGAGGUCUGUGUCCCAGGGACGUGCUGCAGCACCGUCCCCACUGGCUGGAGCGAGCCCUGCUCACUCCCUUCCGCAGGAGUGCAGCAUUUAGCCCUUGCCAUGCAGUUGGGAACCGUCUCCAGCUAAUUGUCUCUUUCUGUCCAUAAGCCAGUGCAUCGUUUAGCCUCCUCUGAAGCUUUGUGGACAGCGGUACCAGGCCUGAAGAUGCCAAGGAUCUGGUGCACUUUGCUCCUUGGUGGCUGGCUGGCAGUGUCACAAAGCACCAGUGGCCCGGGGGCCGUCCUCAGGAUGGAUAUUGGGACAAUCGACCAUGCGGUCUCCACUGCGCUGAAUGAGAGCAAUGUUCUUCAGAAAAUGGUAGAGGAAGCAACAAAAAAAAAGUCGAACAUGAAACCCAUCAAAGGCAUCUCCAGGAUGAGAGUCGUAGACCUCCGUCCCCCGGUGAUAUCGCUGACGCUCUCGCCAGGCGUGGGGCUGUUCAUGGCCGUGCUGGUCCGGAUGACCAUCGCUGGGAAAAGCUUUAUAGGAGGAAACAUGGAAAUCAAGGUGGCAGCAAACCUGACCGCCAGCGCGCGGCUGGCGCAGGACACCCAGGGCUGCCCGAGGUUCAGCACCGAGAGCUGCCACAUCGCCCUGCUCAGCGCCAAAACCAACCUGCCCAGCAACAUGCUGCCCAAAGUCAUGAGCAAGCUUCUGGACAGCACCCUUCAGAAAGUGCUGCCCAGCCUGCUGUGUCCGGCCGUGGACGCGGUGCUCAGCCUCGUGAAUUCAAAACUCACCGCCGUGACUUCCGUGAUCCCUCUCGGCACUGCUGGCACCCUCCGGUACGCGUUGCUGAACCCACCUGUGACGAAUGAAACUUUCAUACAGCUGGAUUUGAAGACCAUCCUCCACAAAAACGAGGGAGAGGAGGUCGACCUUCCAGCAGACCAGCCGUCUCUUCCUUCUCUGCCACCAAAGAGGGAGGCUGCUACCCAGCUCAUCCUGUCUGCAGGCUUCCUGAGUGCUGAGCUCUCUGUUAUGCAGGCGUCCUUCAGCCUGAACAUCAGCAAUAACAUGAUUCUUGGGCUUCCCCCGCUGGUGACCACGACGCUCGGAACCCUCAUCCCAGAGCUUUCCAUGGUGCUGCCUCCAUCACAGCCGCUGGUGAUUGAAAUGAGAGAAGCAAAUCCACCGCUGGUGACAAUAACCCCGGACAAAAGCAUUGUGCACCUCUUCAGCACUGCCGAGUUCCGGGUUUCCAGCCCGGACUCUGAUCUUGGAUCCCUCUUUGUCCUGGAUGUGCACUCCGACCUGAGAGCGCAGUUUGCUGUUGUGGAAGAGAGGCUGCAGCUCUCCCUUGCUCUGGACAGCUUGUCCCAGGUGGCCUUGGCGUCCUCCUCCAUCGGCACGUUUGAUGAGCUGCCGCUGAACGGAGUUCUCGCAGACAUUAUUCAUGUGGCCUACGUGCCAUCCAUCAACAAAUGGGCUCGUGCUGGAUGUGCCUGUCGCGGAGAUCUGACACACGGGGAGGGACGGCUGCACCCGGCUGCUGCUGCGCGACUGAGCCGGAGCGGGUGGCAGAGGGAACGGCGAGGGUGGUGGCUUUCCUGGGGCGCUUCUUCCUCUUCGCUUGACUUCUCAACAUUUUCCCUCCUGAGCUAAAAUUAAAAGACCGGAUCACGCAGUGGCGGGUCUCUGGCCUGCUGUGCAUUUAGUGGAGCCAGCCGCGCACGUCUUCGCUGAGGUCGCAUUUCUGCAAAGGGCUGCCCCCGAAUUGAUCACAUCUGCAACAAAAACGGCACAGGGGCAGCAGGGGGCUGCGGCACAUGCGUCUCCCCUGGGAGGGGGGCAAGAAGGGUUCCCAGGGGUGGCCCUGCUGUGAGAGGAGGGGUUUGUGCCUGCAGCCACCUGCACGGGGUUGUGCAUUUUGGAACUAGGUAGGGAAGCACGUUUAGAUAUCUCCCGGUGUUUUUUAAUAUUUCAGAAGUGCCUCGUAUCGUGGUUUAUUGGCUGCAUUGCAGAUAUUGAUCCCAAGCAUAUAGCUCACUGAUUGCUGGAUAAUUACGUGUCAUUAGUACGUCAAUAAACAGCUUUGAUCCUCAUUUCAUUGAACCAACAUGAAUCGAACAUUUUUUCCUGGUGACAGGUAGCUGGUGUAGAAUUAAGGUUAUCUUUGAAAAGAUCAUUGUGUUUUUAAGAAAUUGUCCUCAAGAAAAUCUCACUGUGAGGCAGGCGACGAAAACCCCAUUUGUUUUCUUGUGUGUGCUGCCAGACACAGCAGGCGUUUGUUCUGUACUGCUUGUAAGGAAUUGUCUUUGUGAGAGGCUCUAAGCAAUGAGGAGAGCAGUCAUAAAGCCAGCUCCCGGUGAGGACUGGUGUUUAUGAUGCUUUCCCUCCUCAUUGCCGUGCAGACACUGCCAAUGCCGAGCAUUUUUUAAAAAAGAUUUUCCUCACUGUUCUUGCUUUAGCUAAUAAAGAAUUGAACAGUUUGGGUUGGAGCUCCUCUAAGAAGAAAUAAGGAUCACAAUAUCUGUGUGCAGCCCUCCUAGGAGAAACAAAAGCUGGAAAUCUCAGGUGGUGCCUAUUUAAUUUUUCAUGAAACACUUAACCACGCUGCCAAGCCGUGCUAUCACAUAGCUGGCUUUUAAUGCCCCGGGACAGCCGCUCGAGGUGCAGCCUUUGGACUCAUGCAGAGGCCAGCACCACGAGCCGGGGCUGCAGGGACCCCGGCCCCGGUCCCCUGAGAGGGCCUUGUCUGGUUGCUGCUGUCAGGAUGGGGAAGCAGAACAAAGUGGACUCCUUCCUGAAGCAGGACCAUCACAUUUUGUGCUGCUGCCGUGGCCAGAAAGGUGAAGGUGUGAGGGGGGUCUGUGCCUCCCCCCCCGGCAGCAAGGGGUGCCCCACGUGCAAGGCCCUGCACCCCCAGCUCCAAUUGUGGCUCCCAGAGCAGAUGCAGUCCCAAUAGCCCAUACACUAAUAAUCAAUCAUUAUUUCGCAUCUGCACAGGAAUGG